rnacentral:tRNA from 1 species
GGAAGUGUGGCCGAGCGGUUGAAGGCACCGGUCUUGAAAACCGGCGACCCGAAAGGGUUCCAGAGUUCGAAUCUCUGCGCUUCCGCC